GUGUGUGUGCACAGGUGGAGGUGUGCAGGACUCUGGCUGUGUGUGCACAGGUGGAGGCGUGCAGUUGUGUUGGCCUGCAGAUUUAGGUGUGCAGCAGUGCUGGUACAUCAGGUGCUGCCAUCCCCUUGGCUGGGACGAGGGGCUGCGGGAGGGUGGCGCCGCUCCCCUUGCCCUGCUCGCCGGGCAGGAUCCGGCCGCGCUGCCGGGCGUAGCCGGGUGAAUCACAGCUUAGGGAUGCUGUGGUAACGCGUUUCGCCUGCUCAGGGAAAGCAACACUGGUUCUCACGCAGCAGGUAUAAGUCUGUGAGUUAAUAAAAUUCUGCCUCUCAGUCUGUGCACUUGCACAGGGUAAAAAGAGCUGUGGGAUCGAAUCCAAGCGGCUCAGCAGACCUACAUAGCUAUGCAGUUACUUAAGGAUUUAAGUGCUAAUAGUAGACAUGAGGCGUAGGCCAGUGCUGUUUGGUUUGUAAUAGCCCACAGCCUGAAACCCGCUGGGAUUCUCAGCCUGAACAUGGCCUUUGCCAGUUCAUCUGGGAAAUCUCGGUUGAUGUUCAAAGGGCACUGCAAGAGACACCUUUAUACAUACAUUUACAUAUCCUGUCUAAAGGCUUUGAUAUGUACACGUCUCAUCAUACCCAGCAGCUCUGUGAUUGCAGCAUUUAGCAGGGCAGGUAUUUUUAUAUCCUGAAUGACCUGAUUGGGAGCAGGGAGUUAAAUGCAGAUCUUUCGCAUCUCAGGAGAAUGAUCUGCAUCCCAUGUGUUCCAGACCAGACUUCUGAAACUUUCUUCUUGGAGCUGAUCCACUUUCAAGGAUAUAAAUACCAAGAGAAACUACAUGUUAAAAUUGUGCACUGAUGCAAGAAGAAAAAUAGAAAAAAAGACUGGUUCCAAACUUGGUUCGUGUCAGAGUUAAUUUUGGAGGAAAUUCUGAGUGAGAUAGAUCCAUUCUUCAGCCAAGAGAAUGUGCUGGUUUUCGUUGGGGUAGAGUUAAUUUUCUUCACAGCAGCCAGCAUGGAGUUAUAUUUUGAAUUGGUGCUGAAAACAGUGUUGAUAACUCAGAGAUGUUUGUGUUAUUGCUGAGCAGUGUUUGGACAUCACCAAGGCCUUUUGUGCUCCUCACACUGACCCCCAGCAAGGAGGCUGGGGUGGCACAAGGAGCUGUGAGGGGACACAGCUGGGACAGCUGAUCCCAACUCACCAACAGGACACUCCUUAGCAGAAAGCCUCCAUUGUGCAUUUCCUGGUUUCCUAUGGAUUAGUCCCAUGUUUGUUCUCUGUAUACAUUUGCAUCCUAAUAGAGUCUUUAAUUUCAUGGAACUCCUUGCUAUGUGAAAGUUACAAUAUUUAAAAAGAACAAAGUGAAAGUUGGCUGAAAGGAAGUUAUUUAAUGUUCAGAGUGUUGAAAUAACACCCAGGAAAACAGGGGGUAUUCUUAAUUCAAUCAGAGUUUUUUUCUGUGUUGCUGAAGAAGAUUUUUUGUUUUUUGCAAGCCACAAACAAAAACAUUUGCAUUGAGUAUUUGAAUUCCAGCGUUUAACUUAACUUCUGAGUGUUUGGUGUUGUAGCCUUAAUGCUUUUAUAGCAUUGCUUUAAAAUUAAUUUUGUUUGAGUUCUGAGACAGUUUUGCCAUGUUAUCUCAGUGCUUCAGGGUUUACUGAAGGAAAACAAAGCAGCAGCAACUGAAACUGCUUAACAGUAGAUUUCAGAAGAAUGAUGUAAGUAGAAAGAUGUGGUAAUAUAUGUCUAGUUUGCUUUAACACAUGGAAUUAUGCAUGUAAAAUAUGUGUUAUCAUAAUGAAAUGUAAAGCUGGGAAUGGAUAUCUGUCUGAGCAAAGCUUCAUGUUUUCUUAAAACAAUUUCCCAGGCUCUCUUCUUUUGUGCUUUCUCAUUGCUUGCUGGAAGCUAAAGUGAUCAUAAGAUCUGUAGGUCACAAAAAAGGUGAUUUAUAUUAGAAAUAGGAUCGAUAGUCAUUUAGAAGAAAUGUUUUUCUGGUGAAGAAGCUACUUAAGAGGCAAAGAACAGAAUCGAUAUCAUACAAUGUAGUUGUACUGUGGAACUGCAGGUGGCAGCAGUAAUUGCAUGGACCAUGGGCUCUGUGCACAUUCUUUUUCCCUAAGAGUUUAUAGUUCUUGAAGUAUGUGUCAGGGACUAUGAAAACCGUCAGUCAUUUCUCUCUGAAGGAAUUCUAAAGGGACUUACUGUUGAACAAGAAUAUAUUUGUUAUAGUAGAAGUCGACAAUUUCACUAUUAACAAAUGUCAAUUAUAAUUUAUAUAUCUAUUUUAUAACAUAUAUUUAUAGAGAUAUGUAAAGCUUAGCUGCAUAGGAAAGCUGAGAGAAUGAGCAUGGAAAGGCCUGGAUUCAUGGGACAUUAAUAAGGUCCCAGAAUAAUUGUUCAGUCUUAUCAUAAAUUUGUGUGUUUGUUACAAAAUGAAUAGGUUAGCUUUAUAACAACUCAAAUUUGAUAUUUUAAAUUUUUCCUCAUCUUAGUAUUCCCUUAUGGCUGCAAUAAAGCAGAUUUUCUUUAUAGUUUUAGACCUUAUAUAAUGUUUUACACUUUCCCAGAACAAUUACAUAAUUAUGUACUUCUUAGCUGAAAUUAUACAUAUAGAUCAAGCAUGAUACCUAUGCCAACUGAACUAUACAAGACACUUUGUCUUCCACCAAGUUAAAAGUGUUUCUUUCACUCUCUGGUUCUGCUUUUUGUUGUAAGAGCCUUGUAAGAUGACUGCAGUACCUGUUUGUGAAAAUGUGUGCGGCCUCUGUCUAGCACGGGACCAAAAAACCAGGGCACACAGUUACAUGGCUUGGAGAGCGACAGGAAAAUGUCAUGCCUGUCAGAGCUCCCUUAAAUCAGGAACAGUUACAUAAAACUGUAAACUUUGGAGGGAGAACAAGAGGUAUGGUGGCAGCUAUAACUUAUUAUCCAUGGUUAAGAGCUUUGUUCUAUUCAUAGGCAUAAGUUUCAAUAGAUCCUAAUUCAGAAGGACAAGAAGCUUGGAGAAAAAGCCCUUCCAGACAGCAGAAGGUUUGAAGUAAAAAGUCCCUAGGCAAACAAAACCCUAGACUUCCCAUUAAGAUGUUAAAAACAAUAGUGAUGGUUAAGUUACAGCGUUAGAAAAAUAACUUUAUAGAGCCCCAGUAUCAGCAAGCGUGGAAAUAAACCUGACACUUUUUUCCCUGUACAUACUCAAGUUCUAGGGGAUUAAUUCAGUCUAACAGUAAGGGUUGGGGGUUUAGUACCUAUAGCAGCUGAGCAUUCUUGAAUAUUUGCUGUCAAGUGUAGGUAUGUGUAGAGUGCUUACAUACUUUGUGUGUGGUAGAUUUGGAGACAAAACUCUCCUUCAAGCUACCUUCUAAAUGUUGGAUACUAUUGGUAAUUAUGUCACAAAGCAUGAGUUCUGCACUUCACUAACAUUCUUGAUGCAAUAGUAUUGAUUUUGCAAAUUGCUGAUGACAGAUGACUUUUCAAAGUUAGGUGAUUACGACAUGAAAGAAGAGUUGAUAGUAGGAAAUAAAUUUUCAAUUCAUUUUAAAUAAAAGCACAGAAGGUAAGUUCUAGUUAUGUGUUUCAAGCAGAUAAGAAAGAUUAUGUAUUUUUGCAUUAGGAAGGUUUUAUAUAAAGAAGAUACCUUUGGGAUCAAAUUACUCUGGUGACUUCAGCAAAAGGAAGAAGAACAAUUGUUGGAAAGGCCUUCAUAGUUCAGGAACACUUCCAAAGCAUCUUUUUCUUUAUAAGCACAUUUCCUAGAAACAAAGAGAAAAAACUUCAUAGACAGGUUUACCUUAGAAAUCAGUGGGAAAGAGAGAGCAAUCUAGUGUGGAGAUCACACUUUCAGAUUUAGUUGUGAAUGGAAUUUUAGUUGUGUAAAGAGCUGAGAAGGUAGGUUUACUAAGCAGUGAUAGCUGGAGUCAGGGUGAACUAGGUUAAAGAAAAUCAAUUACACAUUUUUAUUGAGGAUACUGAAUGUGCAAUAACCUCAAUCAUUCCACUUUAAAGAGGGCAUAGAAAUAGAAAGAAUUGAAGACUCUUGCAGAACAACUGCUUAAAUUGGUGUUAAUCUGAUAAACCUGAUUCUAGAAAGAAUUUGCAUGGAGGAUUUUUAGUUAUUUAUUAAAUCUCAAUUAUAGGUCAAAAGUAGUUCUGAUGUCACACAGCCAAGUUACCUUGGAUCUGACCAGUACAAAAGGAGUUCUGUGAAAAAGAUCUGUAACAAGCCUUGGCCAAGGCUGACUCUUGUCACUGCUUCGAAGAGGUGUCCAGGCAGAAUACCUCACAGUCCAGAGAACUGCUUACAAACUUGCUGUCUCUUUCUUUCUGAAGGUCAAGGAAAACUUGGAAAAAAUUUGUUAUUGUCACCUUGGUAAUUGUGCUGUGCUGCAAUAACUGUGCAAAAAUACUUGAAGUCAGCUAUUCAGAAUUCAGUAUAUGCUGUAUGCUAUACUGUGAGUCUGCUACACAUCUAGAGGAUUCAGAUUUCAUCAUGAAGCAUGUUUCAAUAAAAGUCUUAGAGGUCAUAGAAAUUUUAAAAAUCUUCAAGCUCAGGAUCCACAUUUUUCAGGAUGGGAGAUUGUGACCAUUUAAAAUAUAUGUCAAUCAGGUUGAUUCUUCUAGUAUUUCAAACAGGAAAUGCUCCAUAAUUUGACACGCUAUACUUGUAAAAAAAAAAAAAAAA